GACGAACGCUGGCGGCGUGCUUAACACAUGCCAGUCGAACGCUCAAUCUUGGUUUUUGCGCUGGGUGGUUGAGUGGCGAACGGGUGAGUACUACUUGAUUAACCUGCCUUUGAGUCUGUGAUAAUCAUGGCAAAUUUGCUCUACUACUGGAUACUACAUGUCACUGCAUGGUGGUGUGUGGAAAGGGUUUUGCUGGUUUUGUAUGGGCUCACGGCCUCUCAGCUUGGUGGUGGGGUAAUGGCUCACCAAGGCGACGACGGGUAGACGGCCUGGGAGGGUGAGCGGCCACGCUGGGACUGAGAUGCGGCACAGACUCGAACGGGACGCAGGGGUGGAGAGUGUGAUACAAUGGGAGGAGGGAAGAUGCAGCGACGCCGCGUGGGGGAAAACGUGCAGGGGGUAGUAAACCAAUUUCAGCACGGAAGAAGCGAUAGUGACGGUACGUGCAGAAGAAGCGCCGGCUAACUACGUG
rnacentral:rRNA from 1 species